GAAUGGAUUUGGAUGAAACUUAGCAUGAUAGUUCUUUAGAUUAUCCUGCACAAAGUGUGUGCUUCGAUUUUUGAUCCGUCAAAAAACAUGACCGUUAUUAUCUUGAAUAUUAUUAUAGAUAGAGAUAAACUGUAGACAGCAAUAAUGUUCAGCAAAGUUAGAUUUACAAAUAAGUCUUUUACAAACUUCAUUUGAAUGAUCAGUAGGGUGUAUAAAAUAAAGUUUGUGUUUUAUUUUCUAUUUCAUCAAAAAACAUGGCCGAAGGCAUUGUUUACCAGGUGAACGA
rnacentral:lncRNA from 1 species